GGCCCCUCAGGAACCCGAAACACCCACCCACAGCCCAGCCUUUCCCCUGGCCUCGCUGCCCGCUCCAUUAAACACUCCGCGCCGUGCGGAUGAUUUCGGUGCAGAACGCUCUGCCAUGCAAACGAGCGCAAUUAAUGCCUUUGAAACAAUUUAUGAUUUCCGGCCUACUUCAACAUGUAUUAGCAUAUACCUGGUUUCUUUAAUAUACACUUUGUUUUUCCAAAACCACAAACAUAGUUGCUGGAAUUUCAUGUGGAAGUGCUUAAGGGGCUGAAAGUUAACACCUUUGUGAGCUGAGCAGUCUCACAGUUGCUGCUAAACAAAAGCCUCUUUGUAGAAGCUUUCUCGAAAUGUUUUCUUAACAUGUUCCAAGUAGUUUUAGGCAGGCAACUAAAGUAAACAAGAUGUUACCAUGAUAAAAACACUUGUGAAAACAUUACAGAGUGCACUUAGUAGUUUCUUUCACAUAAACUCCCCUUCGUUUCAUCCAAGUUAAAUGCACAUGAAGCAGAUUAGCAGCAUCACUGCAACACAGGACUGCCACAUCUCUCCAAAGGAGGAAAAGAAAUGAACCAUGUUUUAGACCCGCGAGUCCUUUUUUCUCCCUUAACUGAAGAAUCAUUUUAUUGGCAUACAGGGCUUUCAUUCCACAUACAACUUCUCUCUGCCUUUUCACAAGGAACGACUGGAAGUCUUCACAUACUGCUUCACAGCCCGGCCAUUUGCAUACGCCGUGUCCGUACAGCGGGUGGCUGUGUGAGUGCUCCUCGUGGGAUAAACUGGAUGGGGGAAAGAGAAGAGAGAAAAAAUGCUGUAAACUGAAGUAUGUCUGUGCUGUAUUAUGGACUUCAAACAUACACAAAGGAUAUGAACACAUACCAACAUCUAGGUGUGGCUUUUAUGACUUACUUCAUCCUGGAUUACAGGUAACAUUAUAGAUGCACUGGGUAGACAGAUCACUGUAAAUAUGCUCCUGAGAUGUUAUCCCAAAUACAAACUAGUUGGAAGAGGAAACCCUCCCAAAUUCUGCCACUUUUGACUUAAAGCCCAAGGAGAAUCUGAAGAUUACUAAAGGGAACUUGCACAAGACAAGACAAACUAUGUAGGACAUGACACUCUGGUACUGUGUCCAAAGAAAAUGAUGGAAUGACCAAGACAAUAUCAAACUCUAAAUGAUGCUCAGGAUGUGAAAGGCUCGUGCUGUCAAUAACCUAAAGGCUGGUGCUGACUGUAAAUGGGAACUUAAAAGGUCACUUUGCUAACACCUAUGCAGAGCUUCCACUGCCAUUCAACCAAGAAGAGGAACUACUUCAACUUACCAAAAAUAAGAUAUUUCAAAGAGAAAAAACCCUCAGUCCUGAGAGACAAACACCGGCCCCUCUGCAGGCACUGUGCCAUUCCAAAGGCAGCGACUCCCAUCCUGCUUGGGAGGGUUUCAGCAGCGCCUUUCGGUGACCUUUAUGUGUCAGUAUCAGAUUACUGCUAUUUUAUCCAUCCCACUUUUGAAGAUAUUAUAGAUUGCCACUUGUUCCCUGAUAGAGCCUGAAGAAGCACCUCAAAACAAAACAAAGAGCGGGUUUAUACAGAGGCGGAUGUAACGCACAAAGGAUACAGCCAGUGGAAAUGAAUGGAGAAGUCUGUUGAACUGAUCUAAGUACCCACUUUGUUUGAGCAAAUAGAGGUGGAAAAAAGAAGUUUUAAUCCAGUAAAUAAAUAAACAUCUUUGUGAGCAUAACGCAAACCCAUAAUCUGAAAUUGUUCACUGGUAUUUUGCCUGCACGCAAGCACACCUCCUGUAAUCUGGAUGCAUCCUUGGUCUCGUUGCUGGAGACAGACUUUUAGAAGAUCUGAGCAUUGGCAAGCAGAAGCAAGUUUUAGGUCUGUUUGAUUUCUAAUGACACAUUAGAGUAGGUGUUUGUUUCUGUCACCCUCUCCUUCCCAGGAAUGCAUAUUCAUGGUUGGGUACUGGUGAUGCAACACCAGUUAGUGGAAAUGAUUUUAUAACAAGAUAUAAUUUUCAAAGUAGUGAAGGAAUAAAUGAUGUAAAUUCAA